UUGGCGGCGUGGUUAAGACAUGCAAGUCGAACGAGACUUUUCUUUGUAGCAAUACGAGGGGAAGUUUAGUGGCGAACGGGUGCGUAACACGUGAGCAAUCUACCGAGAAGUGGGGGAUAACUUGCCGAAAGGUAAACUAAUACCGCAUGUGGCCAAGGAGGACAUCUUCCUGACGCCAAAGCCGGGGCAACCUGGCGCUUCUUGAUGAGCUCGCGUCCUAUCAGCUUGUUGGUGAGGUAAUGGCUCACCAAGGCUAUGACGGGUAGCUGGUCUGAGAGGACGACCAGCCACACUGGAACUGAGACACGGUCCAGACACCUACGGGUGGCAGCAGUCGAGAAUUUUUCACAAUGGGGGAAACCCUGAUGGAGCGACGCCGCGUGGAGGAUGAAGGUUUUCGGAUUGUAAACUCCUGUCAUUAGAGAACAAGGCGUACGGCGUAACUGCCCGUACGUUGAUAGUAUCUGAAGAGGAAGAGACGGCUAACUCUGUGCCAGCAGCCGCGGUAAUACAGAGGUCUCAAGCGUUGUUCGGAUUCAUUGGGCGUAAAGGGUGCGUAGGUGGCGAUGUAAGUCAGAUGUGAAAUCUCCGGGCUCAACCCGGAAACUGCAUUUGAUACUGCAUUGCUUGAGGAUUGUAGAGGGCAUUGGAAUUCACGGUGUAGCAAAUCACUAGUGAAUUC
rnacentral:rRNA from 1 species